CUUGUAGCUCAGUGGUUAGAGCAGUGGACUCAUAAUCCAUUGGUCGUAGGUUCAAGUCCUACCAGGCG
rnacentral:tRNA from 1 species